UGGACGUGUGCGACUGUGCACUGCCUGCGGUUCUGGUUGUGCUCGCCUCCUGCUUCCGGGUACUUCUCUCCACGGGGGCGGGGUUCUUUUGCGUGUUGAGCUCGUUGUUGGGGCUUUACGGGCAUGGAGGUGCGAGACGAUCCCUUGCCCGGAUACGGCUUGAAUGCCUCAUCGGUCUGGGCGCUGUUUUUGAGCAACGCACUAUCGUUUUUCACUUUGUCGCGGGAUACCACAAUCUGCCGGUGCCGACCGGCAGAUUCUGCUAUCCCAUUUUUCCGGUCCCUAGCUAUGUGAUCCUCAAUGGACUGCACCCGCUGCUUGUUGGGCUUUUUAUCCGACUUCGGGGGCAGGCUAUCUGUCUGCAUUCGAUCUGGAUGAAAGCCGCCAUAACCUUGUCAAACAGUAAAAUGCGGGGCAUUUUGUUUAAAGUACUGUCCUGGAUCUACGGGAAAAUCCAACAUGGCUGACGAAUCUCACUCACGCACUUCCACAUUCCCUGAACCCAGGGUCACACUCUAUAAUCGGAAUUACUGGGCGUAAAGCGCACGCAGGCGGUCUGUCAAGAUGGAUGUGAAAUCCCCGGGCUCAACCUGGGAACUGCAUUCGAAACUGGCAGGCUGGAGUCUUGUAGAGGGGGGUAGAACUUCCAGGUGUAGCGAUGAAAUGCGUAUAGAUCUGGAGGAAUACCGGUGGCGAGGCGGCCCCCUGGACAAGACUGACGCUCAGGUGCGAAGCGGGGGGAGCAAACAUGAUUUAGAUACCCUGGUAGUCCACGCCAUAAACGAUGUCGAUUUGGAGGUUGUGCCAUUGAGGCGUGGCUUCCC
rnacentral:rRNA from 1 species